GCGGUAUUUGGACCGUGCUAAGGUAGCAUAAUCAAUAGUCUCUUAAUUGGAGUCUGGAAUGAAUGGUUGGAUGAAAUAUAAUUUGUCUACAAAUAUAGAAUUGAAUUUUACUUUUAAGUGAAAAGGCUUAAAUAAAUUAAGGGGACGAUAAGACCCUGUGAAGCUUUAUUUUUAUUGUGUUUAAAAUUUGAGAGUUAGGUGGUUAAAUUUGAGUUUAAUAAAAAUUAGGUUGGGGCGAUUAAAAUAUAUUAUUAACUGUUUUUAAUAGUAAAAUAAAUAAUUUUUAGGUGUUGAUCUUGUAUUAUAGAUUAUAAGAUUUAAGUUACUCCAGGGAUAACAGCGUAAUUCUUUUUGAGAGUUCUUAUCGACAAAAGUAUUUGCGACCUCGAUGUUGAAUUAAGAUUUCAUCAAGGUGUAGGGGUCUU
rnacentral:rRNA from 1 species